UCCAGAAAAGGGUCCAUCCACAAGGAGAGAAACGUGGAAAGGGCAGAGGCUUCACCCUACCUUUACAGCCACACUUCUUGCAGGUAGUGUUCAAGACAGCCUCAAGGGUGAUCUUCUGCCCAGUGUAAUCCUGGAAGGAUCGCCUCCGCCUCUCUUCUUGCCUAUAAUGAAAAAGAUACCGACUGCCGGCCCCCUUAAGAGAUAUGGCCAGAGAUACUACAAGGAUGACAUAUGAGUUCGAUGGACCAGACCUGGGCACAAGAAGAAGAAAUAACGUAAAGCAGAGGGCAUAUCUGGUAUUUAUACUCUAAACUGGAUAAGAAGGUAGCUCUCUCCUGGAUAAACAUGACCAGUCUAGAAGCGUUAGCAGUGAAAAACUGGAAACAACUUAAAAUGAUUAUGUGGUACAUCUGAAUGACAGAAUAAAGCCAUUAAAUGU
rnacentral:lncRNA from 10 species